GAUGAACGCUGGCGGCGUGCCUAAUACAUGCAAGUCGAGCGAACGGACGAGAAGCUUGCUUCUCUGAUGUUAGCGGCGGAAGGGUGAGUAACACGUGGAUAACCUACCUAUAAGACUGGGAUAACUUCGGGAAACCGGAGCUAAUACCGGAUAAUAUCUUGAACCGCAUGGUUCAAAAGUGAAAGACGGUCUUGCUGUCACUAAUAGCUGGAUCCGCGCUGCAUUAGCUAGUUGGUAAGGUAACGGCUUACCAAGGCAACGAUGCAUAGCCGACCUGAGAGGGUGAUCGGCCACACUGGAACUGAGACACGGUCCAGACUCCUACGGGAGGCAGCAGUAGGGAAUCUUCCGCAAUGGGCGAAAGCCUGACGGAGCAACGCCGCGUGAGUGAUGAAGGUCUUCGGAUCGUAAAACUCUGUUAUUAGGGAAGAACAUAUGUGUAAGUAACUGUGCACAUCUUGACGGUACCUAAUCAGAAAGCCACGGCUAACUACGUG
rnacentral:rRNA from 1 species